UUCAGCUUCCAUCGCAUGAAACUCCUUUCAUUCUUCCAUUGCAGAUCAAUCUUGUGCAAGAAGGAGUACCUGAAAUCCUCUCAGGCGCGUCCUUUUAGCUUCCAACGCAAAUCAGUCUUCCACCUCAGUUAGGUCCUAUGCAGAAGGAGGAAACUAAAACUCCUUUCAUCCUUCCAAUGCAAACAGUCCAUGCCCAGGAGGAACAAAUGGUAGUCCAAUGGCCCAAACCAAAGGAGCAUGCAGAUCAAUGCCUGCCCAAACCUCCAGAUAAGGUAGAAUUUGUUUUGCCUGANNNN
rnacentral:lncRNA from 1 species